GGAUUUAGAACUGAAGAAGCUUCUUGGAUGAGAUUUGACACGUCUUCAGAUAAUAUAAUGAAGUCCAGCUGACGUCCUUUCAAGCUCCUAAGACUACCAUGACCUGGAUGACUGAGAACCUACAAACCUACAUCCAAGACAAGAUCUCCAAUGAAAGCAGAGCAGCAGAAAGACGUGCUGAGUGUAAAGCUGUCAGCAGGGGGAAUAACACAGGGCUGUGAAUGAGUCCUGUCACUGUGAUCAGGCUCCUCCUUCUAAUCCACCAACUUAGUGUUGAUGAAGACUAAACAGAGAGAUCACAGCUUCUUUAUACUUGCUGUAGCUCACAGUUACUCUACACUGCAGAUAUGACGCCUCUGUUCAUCUCAGUGCUGCUGGCUGCUAUGUGCCUCGAAUGCAGAGCACAAAAAGACAACGUGCUGCAAGCAAAAGGAGAAGAGACUGCUGCUGCAGGAGGCACAGUAACACUUGGCUGUCAGUAUGAGAGCAGUUCUUCACAACCUUCUCUCUUCUGGUACAAACAGGAUGGAAACAACAGCCCCAAAUUCAUCCUGAGUCGUGUUAGUGGGGACCAAGGAGACACAGCAGACGAGUUCAAGGAGAGAUUUUCAUCCACACUGGAUUCCAGCAUCAGAUCAGUUCCUCUGAAGAUCCAGAAGCUUCAGCUGUCUGACUCUGCUGUGUACUACUGUGCUCUGCAGCCCACAGUGACAGGAAACACCAAAACUCUGUACAAAAACCUUUGGAGCAAAGACAACAGAAUACUCCACAACAUCCACUAGAGGGAGCCACACACUGUUAAACCUCUGAUUCUUGUGUCAUUGGACUGAUGACAAAGACAACAGAGAAAUGAAGCAGUAAAGAUCAGAGACAGAGACAGAGCUGCUGUGGAAGCACAAAACUAUUUGAUUGGCUCAGCUAUUAAACUGGCCCCGCCCACUGAACAUGAGCUCAUCCAAUGACAUUAUUUGUUGGUCAUUGUGCUGCAGUGGAAGAACAUUGUUCAUGUGCUGUCUGUCUGGCUUUAAUAACUCCAAAGACAUGUUGCUGCACCUCUUUUUGCUUCU